rnacentral:misc_RNA from 1 species
CUGUCUCGAGGCACUGCUUGCUAGGUAUCUGACAACCGUCCACUUCCGAAAAAAAGGUCAGCCAACAUCCACACCACGACUACUGCUUUCAUAGAAGUUUCCAUCGUACAGAAUGCAACAGCGGAUGGGCGCCAUGCCAAUGACCGUGCUCUACCCGCAGUCUUACCUGCCGCACGGCGCGGUUCCCUGUCCCGCUCCAGGCUACGGGAGCAUGUUUGGCGGCUACGGCGCUGCGCCAGUGAUGAUGAUGGUCGCUGGAAAUGCGCCGUACCCAGUCAACGGGAACUUUAGUCACUCAGUCACACCAAUGUACUUUGCUAUGGAUCCGGCCAACAGUGCGGCACCAAUGGCAGUCGCGGCCGAUGCCGCCUCGGCUUGUGCCACGCCGAAAGCGAAGCUCGCGCACUCUGGUAGCGGGAACUCCCUCUCAACGCAGUCUUGCUGCUCCGGGGGCGAGACGCCGUCGCUUCUGAGCCGCAGCGCGGCCUCCAGCACCGUCAAGCAGCGCCUGCCUCACGACGUCAGCGUCUGGGGCUUUGCUCUCGUCGACCAACUCCACCCGUCAUUGCAGCGAAUUCCAGUACCGCUGUCGUGCUUGCACGAGCCGACAAUGGGCAUCAGCCUGUACGAUAACGACGUGAUGUCCAGCAGCACUCGCCCGUGCAAAAGCUCUGUGUGUCUCCUUCACGCGCAAGGCCUUGGCUGCGCAGAGGGUGCCGGGUGUCGUUGCUUUCACGUUUCCAACGCGUACCUGAUGCAGUGCCGCGCCACAUCGGAGUCGCUGUGCUGCGCAUUGCACAACUGCUACUACUCGCAGGAGAUGCUCGGCGCCAACUGCGCUCCUCACGUAUCGGGUCGUUGCUACGCACUGAGCCUCGACGAUGCCUCGAAGUUCCCCCAGGACGGUGAGAAGCCCUACCUCAUUGACCUCUCCUUGCUCAACCUCAGCCUCACAGUGGGGCUGGAGACGCUGCCCUGCGUGAAUGGCGUGUACGUCGUCUCCUGGAAGAAGCAUGUAUGCCGCCUCAACAUGAAUGGGCUUUGUAAGUGGACCAAGGACUGCGGCCACAUUCACGUGUGUCGCCAGCUGGCAAAGUUUCUGCAGGAUGCUGAAACGCUCUCCAUCGUGAAGACGCUGCAGGAGAGGACUACGUCGAAGAGCUCCACGGAACUCUACCGUGACAUCAUCCUCAGCGAGAACACGCUGCGCUACGUGCGUUCUGCGGCCGCUCUUUCCCUUGUCGCGGCGCUGCUCGAGGCGGGAGAUGUGGAGGCACUCAAGGCGCUGGCGAGGGCCAAGUGCGCCUUGUUGCCAUCCCAGAGCGCGGCACUGCAGAAGCUCGGAAUCUCCCUGAGCAGCAGCGACUCGACUCGCAUUAUCACCGUGAGUCCGAAGCUCCUCGUUCUGCUCACCCCUAAGGGUAUCAAUUAGGAGAAGGUUACACAUUACACGGCUCACACCGCGUCUGCCAACAGCAACUACAAAAAGGCACAUUGCUGUUCAUAUGUUGUGCGUUUGUGUGCGCGCACGCUCCCUCAUGGUGAAGAGAAAAGGCAGACGCGUCGCUGAAGAUGCGCGGGAGAGAGGACGAGCUCGCGGCCUCUGUGGCGUCUCAUCCUCGUGCGUUCCCUCCUCCUUUCUUUUCUACCAGUUGAAGGCAAAGAACUUUUUUGUACGACUUGUAUUGUUGAACGUGUUUCCACCUCUAUAUGUUAUGUGUGUGUGUGUUUUCUGUCGUUGCUUCUCUCUUCUCAGUGCGAUGUCUUCUACCUCCACUGUACCCUUGACUCUUUGGCUUCCCCUCGCCCCCACGCGCAAAGUCUGCCUGCUCUCGCACUCCUGUCUGGUUAAUGCACGUCCAUAGGCGCGAGGCAAAGUCAAUGCACGACACGCUGUAUCUCUGCCACAAAAAAAAAGCGAUUUUGCUUUAGUUUCCUUUGAUUUACUUUCCUGUCUCUGGCAUCUCUUUUUUGUUUCUUAGCCUGUUAGUGGAUAUGGCGCAUGCAUGUGUGUUCGCGUGUGCCUGUGCGUGCGUGCAGGCGCGCGCAUGUGACUGCCAGCCAUACCAGUAGCAACAAAAAAAAAUGGAGGGCAUCGACUUCGACAGGGAGAAAAUGAAAUCGAGAAUACGGCUCUCUUUCUGUUUGUUUCUUCACGUAAUACCUUGAAGCCGGCGUGGAAAGCCCUGCUGGUAGGUCGGGGAUGACAGUGAGAUCAAAGUCGAGCCACUCCUUCUCUUUCCCUCCCUCGCGGUCUUUGACGGCAUGGAGAAAAAAAGGGAGCCAAAAGCUUGUGUUUUUGUCCUACUCCCCGUCACAGCUUCGUCUUUGUUUCGACCCUUGAUGGAACGCACAGCCCUCAUCCUAAGCGUUUCUUUAUUGUGUCUUCCCUUUGAUUUUCUAUUUCUUUUCGUUCUCCAUGGACAAAGAUGGCGCUAUCUUUUUCCCGCUCUUUGCCGCCUUUUCUCCGUACUUGUUUGCUUGCGUUUUCUCGGACGGCAGUGCUGCCAUAUUUCUCCUCGCUCAAGGACGCGGGCCCGCUAUGAACUCGAUUCAAGUCAAAGGAGAGACCAGGCACAAGGAUAGAAGUGGUGCGCGCAUGUGCGUAGCCCUUUCACCGCAUCUCUCCUUUUUUGACACUGUUGUUUCCUCUCUUUCCUUCUUUUCUCCACAAGUUUCCGACGAUUGUUUCACUCAUUAUUAUUUGCAGUUUUCGUUUUCUCCCCUCGCUGCGCUGUUGUGCUCUUCAUCAAGCUCCGCUUCCCUGAUAGGCUCGCUAUACCUCUCUUCUCUCCCUAUUAUGUUCUGUGUGUCUUUUCAACGAUUUCCUUUUUCUUCUGAUUGCCUCUAUAUCUCUUUUGUGUCUCUUGCCUCUCGUGCUCUGCUGCUGUCACUCUCUUUUUUUUUUUUCACAACAUGUCCACUCUGCCAUAGAACGUGUGCUAAACUCCACCCGGACUGCCAAAGGCCCCAUCGGGUGGUGCGAAGCCGCACUAGACACGCAUCACGCCAAUGCACCGACUCGGUCAUGGGAGCACGGCCUCUGCCGUCAAACUCUACUCGCCCACCCACACCACUAGGCAGUGCGAGGGCCGGGUGGGAUACGCUCGAGUCACGUCGGCACUUCGCCUAUCAUAUGGAUGGUGCAAGCGUGCGCACUGUCGCAGGUCGCUCCGACGCAGCGCCAUCCACGACCUGACCACCGACAUCGGCAGCGGUACGUCGCGGUGACCUCCCGCACGUCGUAGGCACUUGACCCUGUCACCACCAGAGGUGGUUGUGCACUUGGCAGGGGUUAGGGGGGAGGGGCUGCUUGACUUGCCCGCAGAGUGGGUAACGAAAUCUCAUACCGUGAUGAGGCGCUUAUCGUCAUCAGGGUCUGCUGCUGUGAUAAGCCAAAGAAAAAGGGCUAGGCACCCCUCUUCCACCUCCCAAACAAAAAAAGGAACGGUGGUUGGGAAAAGUCGACUGCAGUCCACAAGUAACAAAUUCACUGGUUUAUGUGCAGUCCCUCUCCAUCAUCUAUCUCUCUUUAUGCCCCUCUCUCCCCUCCUUCUCUUCGGCGCUCGGCAAGCGAUGGAAACAAGCAGUGAGCGAAAAGAAAUAAGAAAGAGCGAGCGUUUAUCUUGUGCUAACGAAUCACGGAGAGCAUAACUCGGUAAGCAUUUUUCGCAUCUCUUUUUUUUGUGUUUUUGCUUUCUGUAUUAACUCUACACCCCCACCCCCUCCCCGCUCCCCCCUUUUUUUUCUUGACUUCACACGGUUGUCUCUCGUACUCGUUUUGUCGUUCUCUUCGUUUUGCUUUUCGCACAGACGGUGUACUGUCCUCCUAUUUAGCGGCGAUGGAAGAGCUGGCCAAGGCACCGGACGACGGGAAAGGUUUGAGAUGAGACAAGCACAACGUCGUACCUCGCUCCUGCCGUAUGUCGGUCCCACGCCCUUGCUCUCAUCAGCCUUUCUCCAUUUGCUCUUUUUGUUCUCGUUCGUUACUGUUGUUAUAGUUCCGUUCCGGAACGAAGCAGUGUCAGACAGAAAUACCGGAGCAGUUGAUGUUCAAACAGCAACGUGAAAGAGAAGCACAUGAACACGACUGAAAUUUUUUUUGUUUUUCUUACUGCUCGUCUCGUUUAUGCCACGAUUUAAUUCGUGUCUUUCUGGAAUGUGAGGCGAUCGAGAGAAAGAGGAGACCGAGUGUAGACGUGUGGGGGUAGGCCUGAAGAGGGAGAAACACGCAGGCGUUUCGCACCUCAGCGUUUAACAGAUGAUGCCGAUCAAGGGGAGAGGACACCGAAAGGCACCCCUUGCGUGCUACGAAGUGAAGCGUGCUGCGAAGCCGCUGAAGUCAAUGUGCUAAAGGGUACGCCUCCUCUAACCCCUCCAACCCAGGGCUUCUUCACUCCCUUGUGGGGGGGGGGGGGCGCCUGUUCCGCUCGGGUAUUCUCUGUUCUUCUGUGUUGCUUCUUGCGUUCUGUGUCUUCUUAUGUUGCAUUCUCCUCUCUUUCGUCAGUUGCUGGUGCCACCCCACCCUUCACCCCACUCCCUCACAGACUAUCUCGCUUGCUCGCUUUCCUUCCCGACAGAAGAUGCGUCUUCUUGUUCCUCCUCACUUCUUUCGAUUUCGCUCUUUGCGUUUCAGUCUUACCCUCCACCCGUUUUUGUGCUCACCUUGUCUUGAAUUCCGACCUUGUUUCCGGGGCCUCAUGUGACGUACUGGGAUGUAAAGUCGUUACCUCCAAGACCAGUGCAGUGCACCGUAACCCGACCACUGCAUGAUGUCUCUAACAUAGCUUAACGGCUGGACAAGAGGCAUACCGGACAAUAUAUAUGGAGCUGCUUUGUUACGCUUUUCGUGCACUGCAUUGUAACACCUGCCACACGCCAGAAGCCACUAGCGUGAGCUGUGACAGCGGAAGAAAGUGCUUAUCUAAAAAAAAAAAACAGAAACGUAGCAGACGCCCAAUGAGGUGAUAGCAAUGGAGCUAGCUCUCCGUACCGCCCUCUUGUUUCUAUGUCUAUCUUGCGAUGCGGUCACCAUAUGAGUUUGUGUGUCGGUGUGUGAGUAGCACUUUUUGAGGCUCGCGAAACGCUUCACGGUGCUAAGGGCACACUCGCGUCAUGCGUGCUGUUGUGGGGGGGAAAGGCCCUGCGUCAUUCCCUUGGCUCGCGCCUCUGUCGCUUUGCCGCUUCUUUCUUGAGCAGACGGUGGUGGGUGGACGCAGAUGCGCUGUGUUCGGGGCGACAGGCAAAACGCGUGUCGCGCAGCGCAACGUCUCUUAUGCUCCCCUUCAUCUUUUGCCUCCUCUCCUCAUCGCUCGCUCUAUUCGUUUUGCUCCGUUUCCAACGCCCUGCCCCAUCUGUGGGCAACGCUUCUGGCCCUUCGGCCUUCUUUUGACUGCCGUCGCUGGUAUCGAUCCCGCCACUCCUCCCCGGCGCACGCACGCGUGCAAG